GGCUGACGGCAGAUCCCACUCAACUAUACCCCAUUGAGUCGCACUCUGAUAAGUGACAUGGAGAAAUGGAGAAAUGGUUAGACAAGCCGAUUUCAUGGAUUGGACGGAUACAUUCAGUUAAAAUGAAUGUCCUACCCAGAAUAUUGUUCCUUUUCCAGGCCCUCCUGGUCCGAGUGACUAAAUCUAACUUGGGGACACUCCAACAGGCCACAGGCAAGUUCAUUUCGCAGAACAAGAGACCUAGAGUCUCACGUAAUGUACUUUUUAGGGCAAAGAACAGAG